GGGAAACGGGAGGGGGGGCCAGCCCCAGGCCCCCAAAACCAAACAAGUGUAUGGGGCA
rfam:Heterocephalus glaber contig215757, whole genome shotgun sequence.